rnacentral:rRNA from 1 species
GACGAACGCUGGCGGCGUGCUUAACACAUGCAAGUCGAGCGGAAAGGCCCUUUCGGGGGUACUCGAGCGGCGAACGGGUGAGUAACACGUGAGUAAUCUGCCCUGUGCUUUGGGAUAGCCACCGGAAACGGUGAUUAAUACCGGAUAUGACCAUGGAUCGCAUGAUCUUGUGGUGGAAAGUUUUUCGGCGCAGGAUGUGCUCGCGGCCUAUCAGCUUGUUGGUGGGGUAAUGGCCUACCAAGGCUUCGACGGGUAGCCGGCCUGAGAGGGUGGCCGGCCACACUGGGACUGAGACACGGCCCAGACUCCUACGGGAGGCAGCAGUGGGGAAUAUUGGACAAUGGGCGGAAGCCUGAUCCAGCAACGCCGCGUGAGGGAUGACGGCCUUCGGGUUGUAAACCUCUUUCAGCACCGACGAAGCGAACUUUUUGGGGAGUGACGGUAGGUGCAGAAGAAGGACCGGCCAACUACGUGCCAGCAGCCGCCGUAAAAC